rnacentral:rRNA from 1 species
UUAAGCGACUAAGCGUACACGGUGGAUGCCCUGGCAGUCAGAGGCGAUGAAGGACGUGCUAAUCUGCGAUAAGCGUCGGUAAGGUGAUAUGAACCGUUAUAACCGGCGAUUUCCGAAUGGGGAAACCCAGUGUGUUUCGACACACUAUCAUUAACUGAAUCCAUAGGUUAAUGAGGCGAACCGGGGGAACUGAAACAUCUAAGUACCCCGAGGAAAAGAAAUCAACCGAGAUUCCCCCAGUAGCGGCGAGCGAACGGGGAGCAGCCCAGAGCCUGAAUCAGUGUGUGUGUUAGUGGAAGCGUCUGGAAAGGCGCGCGAUACAGGGUGACAGCCCCGUACACAAAAAUGCACAUGCUGUGAGCUCGAUGAGUAGGGCGGGACACGUGGUAUCCUGUCUGAAUAUGGGGGGACCAUCCUCCAAGGCUAAAUACUCCUGACUGACCGAUAGUGAACCAGUACCGUGAGGGAAAGGCGAAAAGAACCCCGGCGAGGGGAGUGAAAAAGAACCUGAAACCGUGUACGUACAAGCAGUGGGAGCACGCUUAGGCGUGUGACUGCGUACCUUUUGUAUAAUGGGUCAGCGACUUAUAUUCUGUAGCAAGGUUAACCGAAUAGGGGAGCCGAAGGGAAACCGAGUCUUAACUGGGCGUUAAGUUGCAGGGUAUAGACCCGAAACCCGGUGAUCUAGCCAUGGGCAGGUUGAAGGUUGGGUAACACUAACUGGAGGACCGAACCGACUAAUGUUGAAAAAUUAGCGGAUGACUUGUGGCUGGGGGUGAAAGGCCAAUCAAACCGGGAGAUAGCUGGUUCUCCCCGAAAGCUAUUUAGGUAGCGCCUCGUGAAUUCAUCUCCGGGGGUAGAGCACUGUUUCGGCAAGGGGGUCAUCCCGACUUACCAACCCGAUGCAAACUGCGAAUACCGGAGAAUGUUAUCACGGGAGACACACGGCGGGUGCUAACGUCCGUCGUGAAGAGGGAAACAACCCAGACCGCCAGCUAAGGUCCCAAAGUCAUGGUUAAGUGGGAAACGAUGUGGGAAGGCCCAGACAGCCAGGAUGUUGGCUUAGAAGCAGCCAUCAUUUAAAGAAAGCGUAAUAGCUCACUGGUCGAGUCGGCCUGCGCGGAAGAUGUAACGGGGCUAAACCAUGCACCGAAGCUGCGGCAGCGACACUUAUGUGUUGUUGGGUAGGGGAGCGUUCUGUAAGCCUGUGAAGGUGUGCUGUGAGGCAUGCUGGAGGUAUCAGAAGUGCGAAUGCUGACAUAAGUAACGAUAAAGCGGGUGAAAAGCCCGCUCGCCGGAAGACCAAGGGUUCCUGUCCAACGUUAAUCGGGGCAGGGUGAGUCGACCCCUAAGGCGAGGCCGAAAGGCGUAGUCGAUGGGAAACAGGUUAAUAUUCCUGUACUUGGUGUUACUGCGAAGGGGGGACGGAGAAGGCUAUGUUGGCCGGGCGACGGUUGUCCCGGUUUAAGCGUGUAGGCUGGUUUUCCAGGCAAAUCCGGAAAAUCAAGGCUGAGGCGUGAUGACGAGGCACUACGGUGCUGAAGCAACAAAUGCCCUGCUUCCAGGAAAAGCCUCUAAGCAUCAGGUAACAUCAAAUCGUACCCCAAACCGACACAGGUGGUCAGGUAGAGAAUACCAAGGCGCUUGAGAGAACUCGGGUGAAGGAACUAGGCAAAAUGGUGCCGUAACUUCGGGAGAAGGCACGCUGAUAUGUAGGUGAAGUCCCUCGCGGAUGGAGCUGAAAUCAGUCGAAGAUACCAGCUGGCUGCAACUGUUUAUUAAAAACACAGCACUGUGCAAACACGAAAGUGGACGUAUACGGUGUGACGCCUGCCCGGUGCCGGAAGGUUAAUUGAUGGGGUUAGCCGCAAGGCGAAGCUCUUGAUCGAAGCCCCGGUAAACGGCGGCCGUAACUAUAACGGUCCUAAGGUAGCGAAAUUCCUUGUCGGGUAAGUUCCGACCUGCACGAAUGGCGUAAUGAUGGCCAGGCUGUCUCCACCCGAGACUCAGUGAAAUUGAACUCGCUGUGAAGAUGCAGUGUACCCGCGGCAAGACGGAAAGACCCCGUGAACCUUUACUAUAGCUUGACACUGAACAUUGAGCCUUGAUGUGUAGGAUAGGUGGGAGGCUUAGAAGUGUGGACGCCAGUCUGCAUGGAGCCGACCUUGAAAUACCACCCUUUAAUGUUUGAUGUUCUAACGUUGACCCGUAAUCCGGGUUGCGGACAGUGUCUGGUGGGUAGUUUGACUGGGGCGGUCUCCUCCUAAAGAGUAACGGAGGAGCACGAAGGUUGGCUAAUCCUGGUCGGACAUCAGGAGGUUAGUGCAAUGGCAUAAGCCAGCUUGACUGCGAGCGUGACGGCGCGAGCAGGUGCGAAAGCAGGUCAUAGUGAUCCGGUGGUUCUGAAUGGAAGGGCCAUCGCUCAACGGAUAAAAGGUACUCCGGGGAUAACAGGCUGAUACCGCCCAAGAGUUCAUAUCGACGGCGGUGUUUGGCACCUCGAUGUCGGCUCAUCACAUCCUGGGGCUGAAGUAGGUCCCAAGGGUAUGGCUGUUCGCCAUUUAAAGUGGUACGCGAGCUGGGUUUAGAACGUCGUGAGACAGUUCGGUCCCUAUCUGCCGUGGGCGCUGGAGAACUGAGGGGGGCUGCUCCUAGUACGAGAGGACCGGAGUGGACGCAUCACUGGUGUUCGGGUUGUCAUGCCAAUGGCACUGCCCGGUAGCUAAAUGCGGAAGAGAUAAGUGCUGAAAGCAUCUAAGCACGAAACUUGCCCCGAGAUGAGUUCUCCCUGACUCC